rnacentral:rRNA from 1 species
GACGAACGCUGGCGGCGUGCUUAACACAUGCAAGUCGAACGGAAAGGCACUGCUUUUGUGGGGUGCUCGAGUGGCGAACGGGUGAGUAACACGAGAGUAACCUGACCUAGACUUUGGGAUAAGAUAAGGAAACUGGGGUUAAUACAGGAUAGGAGAUCAUGCAGCAUGGAGGGGGUUGGAAAGUUUCGGCGGUUGGGGAUGGACUCGCGGCUUAUGAGCUUGUUAGUGGGGUAGUGGCAUACCAAGGAUUUGACGGGUAGCCGGCCUGAGAGGGUGACCGGCCUCAUUAGUACUGCGAUACGGCCCAGUCUCCUACGUUGGGCAGCAGUGGGGAAUCUUGCACAGUCGUCCCAAGCCUGAUGCAGCGACGUCGCGUUCGUGAUGACGGCCUUCUGGUUGUAAACCGCUUUCGCCUGUUACGAAGCUUGAGUGACGGUAAUGGGUAAAGAAGCACCGGCUAACUACGUG